UUUAAUUUUCACCGGGGAUGAACAACUUUUGUCACGUGACCGCAAAAGUCAACGCCGGUUGCAGAAACAGAUUGUAAUCUUGUACAUUAAGAAACAUGACGCUCGUGUGUGAAAUCUGUGGAAAGACAUUUAAAUCGAAGUGGGGGUUAAAGCUUCAUGAUAAGCGCCACAGAGGGACUGGACGAUUCGCCUGUUGUGGAAAAACAUUUUACACAAAACAGGCGUUCAACAGACACAGAUGCAGCAUUCAUGGUGUUGAAAAGCCGUUCCCCUGUGAACAAUGCGGCAAAAAGUUUUCAACCAAAGAUGACCUGAAUCGUCACGUCCGGAGGGAGGUUGCUGCAAAGCAAUUUACCUGCUCAAUUUGCAAUGCAACGCUCCGGGAGAAAAUUGACCUUCAGGCCCACCUUGCCACCCACAAUGGAGAGAAAAACUUUGCUUGUGAUAUGUGUGAAAAGAGGUACAGGCACCGCAGUAGUCUAUCAAAGCACAGAUCUGCAAAGCACCGGGCCUAGUCAUCUGUUGCAUGACGAUGAUAAGACCAAGAAUUAUUUUUAAUUCUUACCAAUGUGCCGUGGUUAUUUUCUUAAUUAUUGAAAAUACAGACUGUCAUACAAUAAUAUAUAGUAUUACGCGUGUUUUUGCGUCUUAAACAUUGUGUUUCAUAUCGUUUAUCUUGUGUUGUUUUGUUUGAUAUUCCUGUUUUUAAUAAGAUUAUUGUUGUAAUAUUUAUCAUUCUAAUUUAAAAUGAUUAUGAUAAUGGUUGAUCUCAUACAAAUUAUUGUGUUCAUUAUUGCUCAUCUGUGAUUACUGUUGAUCUCAGCCCAUGAAUUGUGAUUUAUAUUGAUUAUCUGUGAUUAUUGUUGAUCUUAUCAAAAUAAUUGUAAUUUAUGUUGAUUAUCUGUGAAUUUUUUAUCUUAACCUAUUAAUAGUGAUUUAUAUUAUCUGUGAUUAUUGUUGAUCUUAUCAAAAUCAUUGUGAUUUAUGUUGAUUAUCUGUGAUUAUUGUUGAUCUCAACCGAUUAAUUGUGAUUUAUAUAACCAGUGAUUAUUGUUGAUCUUUUCAAAA